rnacentral:tRNA from 1 species
GAAAUAUGGGAUUUCCAAUUUAAAGCUGCUAACUUUUAAAUUUAAUGAAUUAAAUCAUUUAUAUUUCU